GCCCGGGUGGCUCAGUGGUUGAGCAUCUGCCUUUGACUCAGGAUGUGAUCCCAGGGUCCUGGGAUCAAGUCCCAUGCCAGGCCC
rnacentral:tRNA from 1 species